GUGAAUUUUGGACCAAAGGAUGAAGGUAAGCCAUAAACGAAGGCUGCACUUGUAUGGAUAGGAAUGAAAAUAGCUGUCACUUUUUGUUGGACUAUUUCAUCUAUGAGACCUAAAGUGGUACUUCAUUGUGAACAUUAUAAAUUAUGCAGAAAUGUUAGAAUAAGUUUUUAAUGGCACUCCUCAGAAGACUCACUUUUAUAUUUCUUGAGGUGAUUGGAAAUCUCUAUGGAUGGAUGAUAAGUGCAAAAUCAAAUCCCACAGCUAAUCAUUUUCAGCUUUUGUAUUCCCAUGCCUAGAAAUACAUCUCUGAUUAUUAAGGCUAUAUGUACAAAAAUGGUAGUGAUACUGUGUUCUGCUCCACUUUAUGAAUUAUGUUCCAAUGAAUGUGAUGUCUGGUAAGAUGGCAAUGCGCUCAUAUGUACUGGCCUCUAUGGGGCCAGCUAAAGCUGUUACUUUCUUUUUUAUGAUCGCAAGACACUGAUGGACAUUAAGUACUGCAGGUCUACCCAAUCAACGUGUUGCUUGUUGGUGGAGGAGCUGGACUCGGUGCAGACUGUGUUGCUGAAUUGGGGCACAAAGGUGGUGUGCAGCCUAACAGUGGGACUAACGGUGGCAGAGCUGUAUGGCCUUGGUUGGAGCGCAGAGAAGCCUCACGCUGCAAUGUUGCCUGUUUGCAGCUGCCUGGAGUUAGAGUGGCGUGGCAUCCGUGCUGGCAUCGGUGCUGCCCUUCAGUAGAAGACAAGCUGUAUCGCAUUCAUCUACACUCUUCAGUGGACAUGCUCUUGCCAAAAACUCUCAUGGACUUAGGGACUUGGGCUAUUUUGUAUACUUCUGUGUGACUGAAUGUUCACUGCUAUCUUAUAUGUGCCUUGUUCAGUGUAUGGCUGUUUGUACUGUGUUUUGCAUCUUGUCCCCAGAGGAAAACUGCUUUGUUUGCCGGUACUCGCAUAUGGUUGAAUGACAAUUAAACUUGAACUUAAAUGUCGGGUGGUGAAUAUUGAGAAAGGUAAAAAGAAGUCUAUGCUGUUUCAAAAUGUACAUUGAAAGUACUGCAGGGACCUCUGUUUGAGGUCUUUUUCUUAGUCCAUCAUCAAAUUGUUCGACAUCCCUAUAUACAUAACAUGAUGCAGCCUAAAAGGGGAGCAUUCAGCUUACAAGGGCUGGGCUAACUCAUUGAUAGCCCUACUUCCCUGCACACCAUCUUUUUUUUCAAACUAUUUUGAAUAUUAAAAUUGAAACGGUUUCCAGCUCUCCCUCGGUCAGGACAUUCAGGUCAAAACCAUGCUGUGUUAUUUUAUUUUUCUAAUGAUCUUCUCUGUUGCCUUAAACCCUGAACUCUUCUAUUAAAUCUAUUAGCUUGCUCUCCUUCAAAGUGAACAACAACAAGCUUCCCACUUCUUCAACAUGAAAGAAGUUCCUAGUCCAUGGAGUUGUUUUCAUUUUUUUAUAA